UGGAAGCGUCUGGAAAGGCGCGCGAUACAGGGUGACAGCCCCGUACACAAAAAUGCACAUGCUGUGAGCUCGAUGAGUAGGGCGGGACACGUGGUAUCCUGUCUGAAUAUGGGGGGACCAUCCUCCAAGGCUAAAUACUCCUGACUGACCGAUAGUGAACCAGUACCGUGAGGGAAAGGCGAAAAGAACCCCGGCGAGGGGAGUGAAAAAGAACCUGAAACCGUGUACGUACAAGCAGUGGGAGCCCUGAUUUAUCAGGGUGACUGCGUACCUUUUGUAUAAUGGGUCAGCGACUUAUAUUCUGUAGCAAGGUUAACCGAAUAGGGGAGCCGGAGGGAAACCGAGUCUUAACUGGGCGUUAAGUUGCAGGGUAUAGACCCGAAACCCGGUGAUCUAGCCAUGGGCAGGUUGAAGGUUGGGUAACACUAACUGGAGGACCGAACCGACUAAUGUUGAAAAAUUAGCGGAUGACUUGUGGCUGGGGGUGAAAGGCCAAUCAAACCGGGAGAUAGCUGGUUCUCCCCGAAAGCUAUUUAGGUAGCGCCUCGUGAAUUCAUCUCCGGGGGUAGAGCACUGUUUCGGCAAGGGGGUCAUCCCGACUUACCAACCCGAUGCAAACUGCGAAUACCGGAGAAUGUUAUCACGGGAGACACACGGCGGGUGCUAACGUCCGUCGUGAAGAGGGAAACAACCCAGACCGCCAGCUAAGGUCCCAAAGUCAUGGUUAAGUGGGAAACGAUGUGGGAAGGCCCAGACAGCCAGGAUGUUGGCUUAGAAGCAGCCAUCAUUUAAAGAAAGCGUAAUAGCUCACUGGUCGAGUCGGCCUGCGCGGAAGAUGUAACGGGGCUAAACCAUGCACCGAAGCUGCGGCAGCGACACUGUGUGUUGUUGGGUAGGGGAGCGUUCUGUAAGCCUGUGAAGGUGUGCUGUGAGGCAUGCUGGAGGUAUCAGAAGUGCGAAUGCUGACAUAAGUAACGAUAAAGCGGGUGAAAAGCCCGCUCGCCGGAAGACCAAGGGUUCCUGUCCAACGUUAAUCGGGGCAGGGUGAGUCGACCCCUAAGGCGAGGCCGAAAGGCGUAGUCGAUGGGAAACAGGUUAAUAUUCCUGUACUUGGUGUUACUGCGAAGGGGGGACGGAGAAGGCUAUGUUGGCCGGGCGACGGUUGUCCCGGUUUAAGCGUGUAGGCUGGUUUUCCAGGCAAAUCCGGAGAAUCAAGGCUGAGGCGUGAUGACGAGGCACUACGGUGCUGAAGCAACAAAUGCCCUGCUUCCAGGAAAAGCCUCUAAGCAUCAGGUAACAUCAAAUCGUACCCCAAACCGACACAGGUGGUCAGGUAGAGAAUACCAAGGCGCUUGAGAGAACUCGGGUGAAGGAACUAGGCAAAAUGGUGCCGUAACUUCGGGAGAAGGCACGCUGAUAUGUAGGUGAAGCGACUUGCUCGUGGAGCUGAAAUCAGUCGAAGAUACCAGCUGGCUGCAACUGUUUAUUAAAAACACAGCACUGUGCAAACACGAAAGUGGACGUAUACGGUGUGACGCCUGCCCGGUGCCGGAA
rnacentral:rRNA from 1 species